rnacentral:antisense_RNA from 1 species
CUCCAUGCGGGUGGCUGUAUGUGGGCGUCUUUGGACGCGCCAGAUUUAGUGACUGGUAGGCUAACCCAUACAGUCGCCUGCGCCCCU